GGCCUUGAACGUCGUAAAAACAAGCAUUUGUACAGUUCGAUCAAACACACAUUACAAGCAGUGGGAAAAAAAAUCUAACAACUCAGAUUCAAAUUUGGUGAGAUUUCACCUGCAGGUUAACCAGUAAUUUGAGGACUUGAAGCAAUGUUAGAAACCUUUCAUAACCUAAACCAUACUGCUCCAAAAAUACCAACAACCAAAUAGCUUAAAAAGGGAAGCCCG
rnacentral:misc_RNA from 1 species